AGAAGUGAUAAGAGGCACUAAAAUAAUUAACCCAGCUUCCAAACUAAAUUGACGUAGAUAAUCAAACAAAUCCUACAUGGGGGUACCGGAGGUAUAUUCACUUAAGUACACGUGUAUCCAUAUAUAUAUACUAUAGAUACUUAUCCAGCGACAAGUCAGUAUCAGUUGAAACCUCUUCAAGUGAAAUACGUUAAAUAAAUCUGUGAAAAUAAUAAUUACGAUUAUUUUAAUAUUUUGAAUCCCAAUUACUUGGAAAAUUAUGUCUCGCUUUUUGAUAAUUUGCUUAAUCGCAUUAUGCCUACUUACAACAUUGAUGGCAUUGCCACAGAGAAAAUAUCGACAUGCAAAUUGGGGAAUCAGUCGAGACGAUACAACAACUACGGAAUGUCCAUUGUGCCCUUUUAAUAUAACAAGAGUCUAACAUACAGCUGCAGUAUAAAAUAUAUAUAUAUAUAUAUAUAUAUAUAUAUAUAUAUAUAUAUUUUUAUUAUUUAUUU